CCCGCAUCCUCCCUUCCCUGCCCACCCCACCUCGGUGGGGGGGGGGUCCCCCCGAUGCCAACAGCAAACUGCUGCCCACCUUCAUAAGGGGGAUUUCAGUGUUCUCUCACACCGCUCGGGGUCCUGCCUGCAGAAUGACUUUGGUCCCAUUAAACCUCUUCGUUAACGACGUGGGCGAUGGGGCGGAGCGCCCCCAGAAAGUCUGCGGGUGAUGCAAUGCGGGGAGAAGUGGAUGGUGGAUGGCUGAGCUCAUGCUGCCACCCAGAGGACUGUGGGCAUGAUGGAGAAAUGGGCUGCAGGAACCCCAUGGAGCUCAGCAAGGAGCAGUGCGCGGAGAUAUGGUGGGCAUAUUGGAUGAGAUGAGCUCCAGAGGUUCCCUACAACCCCAACCAUCCCAUGACCGUGUGGGGUUCUUUCCAAACCCAACCAUCCCAUGGUCCUAUAGUGUUCCUUCCAACCCCAACCAUCCCAUGUUCCUAUGCGAUUCCUUCCAACCCCAACCAUCCCAUUAUUAUGUGAGGUUCCUUCCAACCCUAACCAUCCCAUUACCCAGUGGGGUUCCACCCAAACCCAACCAUCCCAUUAUCAUGUGAGGUUCCUUCCAACCCCAACCAUCCCAUGGUCUUAUAGUGUUCCUUCCAACCCCAACCAUCCCAUGAUACUAUGGAGUUCCUUCCAACCCCAACCAUCCUCUGACCCUGUGAGAUUCCUUCCAACCCCAACCAUCCCAUGGUCCUAUGGAGUUCCUUCCAACCCCAACCAUCCCACAACCCUGUGGGGCUCCUUCCAACCCAACCAUCCCAUGGUCUAAUAGUGUUCCUUCCAACCCCAACAAGUCCGUGGUCCUAUGGUGUUUCUUCCAACCCCAACCAUCCCAUGGUCUUGUGGGGCUCUCUCCAAUCCCAACCAUCCCAUGAUCCUACAAAGUUCCUUCCAACCCCAACCAUUCCAUGACCCUGUGGGGUUCCUUCCAACCCCAACCAUCCCAUGUUCCUGUGAGGUUCCACCCAACCAUAACCAUCCCAUUAUCAUGUGAGGUUCCUUCCAACCCCAACCAUCCUAUUAUCAUGUGAGAUUCCUCCAACCCCAACCAUCCCAUGGUCUUGUGGGGUUCUUUCCAAACCCAACCAUCCCAUGGUCCUAUAGUGUUCCUUCCAACCCCAACCAUCCCAUUAUCAUGUGAGGUUCCUUCCAACCCCAACCAUCCCAUGCUCCUGUGGGGUUCCACCUACCCCAACCAUCCCAUUAUCAUGUAAGAUUCUUUCCAACCCCAACCAUCCCAUGGUCUUGUGGGGUUCUUUCCAAACCCAACCAUCCCAUGGUCCUAUAGUGUUCCUUCCAACCCCAACCAUCCCAUUAUCAUGUGAGGUUCCUUCCAACCCCAACCAUCCCAUGUUCCUAUGCGAUUCCUUCCAACCCCAACCAUCCCAUUAUUAUGUGAGGUUCCUUCCAACCCUAACCAUCCCAUUACCCAGUGGGGUUCCACCCAAACCCAACCAUCCCAUUAUCAUGUGAGGUUCCUUCCAACCCCAACCAUCCCAUGGUCUUGUGGGGCUCUUUCCAACCCCAACCAUCCCAUGAUCCUAUAGUGUUUCUUCCAAUCCCAACCAUUCCAUGGUCCUGUGGGGCUCCUUCCAACCCCAACCAUCCCAUAUCCCUAUAGUGUUCCUUCCAACCCCAACCAUCCCAUGGCCCUAUGAAAUUCCUUCCAACCCCAACCAUCCCAUUAUCCUGUGAAGUUCCUUCCAACCCCAACCAUCCCAUGAUCCUAUAGUGUUCCUUCCAACCCCAACCAUCCCAUGGUCCUGUGGGGCUCCUUCCAACCCCAACCAUCCCAUGGCCCUAUGGUGUUCCUUCCAACCCCAACCAUCCCAUGGUCCUAUGAAGUUCCUACCAACCUCAACCAUCCCAUGGUCCUAUGGAGUUCCUUCCAACCCCAACCAUCCCACAACCCUGUGGGGCUCCUUCCAACCCAACCAUCCCAUGGUCUAAUAGUGUUCCUUCCAACCCCAACAAGUCCGUGGUCCUAUGGUGUUUCUUCCAACCCCAACCAUCCCAUGGUCUUGUGGGGCACUUUCCAAUCCCAACCAUCCCAUGAUCCUACGAAGUUCCUCUCAACCUCAACCAUUCCAUGACCCUGUGGGGUUCCACCCAACCCCAACCAUCCCAUUAUCAUGUGGGGUUCCACCCAACCCCCACCAUCCCAUUAUCAUGUGAGGUUCCUUCCAACCACAACCAUCCUAUUAUCAUGUGAGAUUCCUUCCAACCCCAACCACCCCAUGAUCCUAUGAAGUUCCUUCCAACCCCAACCAUCCCAUAUCCCUAUAGUGUUUCUUCCAAUCCCAAGCAUUCCAUGGUCCUGUGAGAUUCCUUCCAACCCCAACCAUCCCAUGAUCCUGAGAGGUUCCUUCCAACCCCAACCAUCCCAUGGCCCUAUGAAAUUCCUUCCAACCCCAACCAUCCCACGAUCCUGUGAGGUUCCUUCCAACCCCAACCAUCCCAUGGUCCUAUAGUGUUCCUUCCAACCCCAACCAUCCCAUGGUCCUAUGGUGUUCCUUCCAACCCCAACCAUCCCAUGGUCUUAUAGUGUUCCUUCCAACCCCAACCAUCCCAUGAUACUAUGGAGUUCCUUCCAACCCCAACCAUCCUCUGACCCUGUGAGAUUCCUUCCAACCCCAACCAUCCCAUGGUCCUAUGGAGUUCCUUCCAACCCCAACCAUCCCACAACCCUGUGGGGUUCCUUCCAACCCAACCAUCCCAUGGUCUAAUAGUGUUCCUUCCAACCCCAACAAGUCCGUGGUCCUAUGGUGUUUCUUCCAACCCCAACCAUCCCAUGGUCUUGUGGGGCUCUUUCCAAUCCCAACCAUCCCAUGAUCCUACAAAGUUCCUUCCAACCCCAACCAUUCCAUGACCCUGUGGGGUUCCACCCAACCCCAACCAUCCCAUUAUCAUGUGGGGUUCCACCCAACCCCCACCAUCCCAUUAUCAUGUGAGGUUCCUUCCAACCCCAACCAUCCUAUUAUCAUGUGAGAUUCCUUCCAACCCCAACCACCCCAUGAUCCUAUGAAGUUCCUUCCAACCCCAACCAUUCCAUAUCCCUAUAGUGUUUCUUCCAAUCCCAACCAUUCCAUGGUCCUGUGAGAUUCCUUCCAACCCCAACCAUCCCAUGAUCCUGAGAGGUUCCUUCCAACCCCAACCAUCCCAUGGCCCUAUGAAAUUCCUUCCAACCCCAACCAUCCCACGAUCCUGUGAGGUUCCUUCCAACCCCAACCAUUCCAAGGUCCUAUGAAGUUCCUUCCAACCCCAACCAUCCCAUGGUCCUAUGAAGUUCCUUCCAACCCCAACCAUCCCAUUAUCAUGUGAGGUUCCUUCCAACCCCAACCAUCCCAUUACCCAGUGGGGUUCCACCCAACCCCAACCAUCCCAUGGUCCUGUGGGGUUCCACCGCCCCAACCAUCCCUUUAUCAUGAGAAGUUCCUUCCAACCCCAACCAUCCCAUGACCCUGUGGGGCUCUUUCCAACCCCAACCAUCCCGUGGUCCUAUGGAGUUCCUUCCAACCCCAACCAUCCCACAACCCUGUGGGGCUCCUUCCAACCCAACCAUCCCAUGGUCUAAUAGUGUUCCUUCCAACCCCAACAAGUCUGUGGUCCUAUGGUGUUCCUUCCAACCCCAACCAUCCCAUGGUCUUGUGGGGCUCUUUCCAAUCCCAACCAUCCCAUGAUCCUACAAAGUUCCUUCCAACCCCAACCAUUCCAUGACCCUGUGGGGUUCCACCCAACCCCCACCAUCCCAUUAUCAUGUGAGGUUCCUUCCAACCCCAACCAUCCUAUUAUCAUGUGAGAUUCCUUCCAACCCCAACCAUCCCAUGGUCUUGUGGGGCUCUUUCCAACCCCAACCAUCCCAUGAUCCUAUAGUGUUUCUUCCAAUCCCAACCAUUCCAUGGUCCUGUGGGGUUCCUUCCAACCCCAACCAUCCCAUGAUCCUGAGAGGUUCAUUCCAACCCCAACCAUCCCAUGGCCCUAUGAAAUUCCUUCCAACCCCAACCAUCCCAUUAUCCUGUGAAGUUCCUUCCAACCCCAACCAUCCCAUAUCCCUAUAGUGUUCCUUCCAACCCCAACCAUCCCAUGAUCCUAUAGUGUUCCUUCCAACCCCAACCAUCCCAUGGUCCUGUGGGGCUCCUUCCAACCCCAACCAUCCCAUGGCCCUAUGGUGUUCCUUCCAACCCCAACCAUCCCAUGGUCCUAUGAAGUUCCUACCAACCUCAACCAUCCCAUGGUCCUAUGGAGUUCCUUCCAACCCCAACCAUCCCACGACCCUGUGGGGCUCCUUCCAACCCAACCAUCCCAUGGUCUAAUAGUGUUCCUUCCAACCCCAACAAGUCCGUGGUCCUAAGGUGUUUCUUCCAACCCCAACCAUCCCAUGGUCUUGUUAGGCUCUUUCCAACCCCAACCAUCCCAUGAUCCUAUGAAGUUCCUCUCAACCUCAACCCCCCCCUGACCCCGUGGGGUUCCACCCAACCCCAACCAUCCCAUUAUCAUGUGGGGUUCCACCCAACCCCCACCAUCCCAUUAUCAUGUGAGGUUCCUUCCAACCCCAACCACCCCAGGAUCCUAUGAAGUUCCUUCCAACCCCAACCAACCCAUGAUCCUAUGAAGUUCCUUCCAACCCCAACCAUCCCAUUAUCAUGUGAGGUUCCUUCCAACCCUAACCAUCCCAUUACCCAGUGGGGUUCCACCCAAACCCAACCAUCCCAUUAUCAUGUGAGGUUCCUUCCAACCCCAACCAUCCCAUGGUCUUAUAGUGUUCCUUCCAACCCCAACCAUCCCAUGAUCCUGUGGGGUUCCACCCAACACCAACCAUCCCAUGGUUCCUUCCAACGCCAAACAUUCCAUGAUCCUAUGAAGUUCCUUCCAACCCCAACUAUCCCACGACCCAGUGAGGUUCCUUCCAACCAUCCCAUGACCCCAUGCAAUUCCUUCCAACCCCAACCAUCCCAUGAUCCUAUGAAGUUCCUUCCAACCCCAACCAUCCCAUGGUCCUGUGGGGCUCCUUCCAACCCCAACCAUCCCAUGGUCCUGUGAGGUUCCUUCCAACCCCAAGUAUCCAACAACCCUGUGGGGUUCCUUCCAACCCCAACCAUCCCACAACCCCGUGAGGUUCCUUCCAACCAUCCCAUGGUCCUAUGGUGUUUCUUCCAACCCCAACCAUCCCAUUAUCAUGUGAGAUUCCUUCCAACCCCAACCAUCCCAUGGUCUUGUGGGGCACUUUCCAAUCCCAACCAUCCCAUGAUCCUACGAAGUUCCUCUCAACCUCAACCAUUCCAUGACCCUGUGGGGUUCCACCCAACCCCAACCAUCCCAUUAUCAUGUGGGGUUCCACCCAACCCCCACCAUCCCAUUAUCAUGUGAGGUUCCUUCCAACCCCAACCACCCCAUGAUCCUAUGAAGUUCCUUCCAACCCCAACCAUCCCAUAUCCCUAUAGUGUUUCUUCCAAUCCCAACCAUUCCAUGGUCCUGUGAGAUUCCUUCCAACCCCAACCAUCCCACGAUCCUGUGAGGUUCCUUCCAACCCCAACCAUUCCAAGGUCCUAUGAAGUUCCUUCCAACCCCAACCAUCCCAUGGUCCUAUGAAGUUCCUUCCAACCCCAACCAUCCCAUGGUCUUGUGGGGCUCUUUCCAAUCCCAACCAUCCCAUGAUCCUACGAAGUUCCUUCCAACCCCAACCAUCCCAUUACCCAGUGGGGUUCCACCCAACCCCAACCAUCCCAUUAUCAUGUGAGAUUCCUUCCAACCCCAACCAUCCCAUGACCCUGUGGGGCUCUUUCCAACCCCAACCAUCCCGUGGUCCUAUGGAGUUCCUUCCAACCCCAACCAUCCCACAACCCUGUGGGGCUCCUUCCAACCCAACCAUCCCAUGGUCUAAUAGUGUUCCUUCCAACCCCAACAAGUCCGUGGUCCUAUGGUGUUUCUUCCAACCCCAACCAUCCCAUGGUCUUGUGGGGCUCUUUCCAACCCCAACCAUCCCAUGAUCUUGUGAGGUUCCUUCCAACCCCAACCAUUCCAUGGUCCUAUAGUGUUCCUUCCAACCCCAACCAUCUCCUGACCCUUUGGGGUUCCUUCCAACCCCAACCAUCCCAUGAUCCUAUGAAGUUCCUUCCAAUCCCAACUAUCCCACGACCCCAUGCAAUUCCUUCCAACCCCAACCACCCCAUGACCCCGUGAGGUUCCUUCCAACCAUCCCAUGACCCCAUGCAAUUCCUUCCAACCCCAACCAUCCCAUGGUCCUAUGGUGUUUCUUCUAACCCCAACCAUCCCAUGAUCCUGUGAGAUUCCUUCCAACCCCAACCAUUCCAUGGUCUUGUGGGGCUCUUUCCAACCCCAAACAAUCCCAUGACCCUGUGAGGUUCCUUCCAACCCCAACUAUCCAACAACCGUGUGGGGUUCCUUCCAACCCCAACCAUCCCACCACCCCGUGAGGUUCCUUCCAACCAUCCCAUGGUCCUAUGGUGUUCCUUCCAACCCCAACCAUCCCAUUAUCAUGUGAGGUUCAUUCCAAACCCAACCAUCCCAUGGCCUUGUGGGGCUCUUUCCAACCCCAACCAUCCCAUGAUUCUAUGAAGUUCCUUCCAACCCCAACCAUCCCAUGGUCCUAUGCGAUUCUUUCCAACCCCAACCAUCCCAUGAUCCUGAGAGGUUCCUUCCAACCCCAACCAUCCCAUGGUCCUAUGGUAUUCCUUCCAACCCCAACCAUUCCACAACCCUGUGGGGCUCCUUCCAACCCCAACCAUCCCAUGGUCCUGUGAGGUACCUUCCAACCCCAACCAUCCCACGACCCUGUGGGGCUCUUUCCAACCCCAACCAUCCCAUGAUCCUCUGAAGUUCCUUCCAACCUCAACCAUCCCCUGACCCUGUGAGAUUCCUUCCAACCCCAACCAUCCCGUGGUCCUAUGGUUUUCCUUCCCACCCCAACCAUUCCAUGGUCCUGUGAGGUUCCUUCCAACCAUCGCCUGACCCUGUCCGAUUCCUUCCAACCCCAACCAUCCCAUGAUCCCACGAGUCACCACCAGAUGGCUGCUGACCCACAGCGUUUCCCACAGCAUCCACU
ensembl:lncRNA